GACACGCUGGCGGCGUGCUUAACACAUGCAAGUCGAACGGGGAUUAGUUGGUUGAGAGCUUCGGCAGGAUACUGAUUAAUUCCAGUGGCGGACGGGUGAGUAACGCGUGAGCAACCUGUCCCAGACAGGGGGAUAACACUUGGAAACAGGUGCUAAUACCGCAUAAGACCACGGGGUCACAUGGCCCAGGGGUAAAAGGAGCAAUCCGGUUUGGGGUGGGCUCGCGUCCGAUUAGAUAGUUGGUGAGGUAACGGCCCACCAAGUCAACGAUCGGUAGCCGACCUGAGAGGGUGAUCGGCCACAUUGGAACUGAGAGACGGUCCAAACUCC
rnacentral:rRNA from 1 species